UUAAAAUAUUACAAAUAUUUAAACUUUAUAAGAAGUUUACAUAUUAUAAAUAUUUAAAUAUAUAAUAAUACGGGACGGUAUACUACGGGUGAAAUCCUAGAUAUAACAAUCAAAAUACAAUUAUAAAGUUUGGAUCGAUAUAAAAUUUUUUAGGUGAUUUUCUAAAGUACCAUUUUCUACUACCCUUUUGCAAUAAUACCCUUUUUUGUUGGCCAUUUUUAAAGACACCCUUUUUCUUGAACAAUAGUUCGAAAUUAUACAUUACCUAAUGAGAACAUAUAAUUAGAAACUGAAAUUUUUUCGUCAAAAAUUGUUUCCCGCCAAAAAAAUAAAAUUUCGUCAAAAAUGCAUUUAUAAAUCCUUGUAAAAUUUUUAAAAACCCUUUGAAACCUCUUAUAAAUCCUUUAAAACUCUUUAAAAAUCUUUGUACAAGUUUUAAAAAGCUUUGUAAAGUUGUUAAAAACCUAGGGGUGUCAAAUAGGUCAAAAUUCAUGGGUCAACUCAACCCAUGAACCCUAAUGAGUUGAAAUUUUUGACUCAAAUGAGUUGAUGGGUCAAAUGAGUUGAUGAGUCAAUUGGUUUGAUGAGUAAAAUGAGUUGGGUUGUAAUGGUUAAUGGUUUCAAUGGGUUACCCAAUUAACCCAUCAAGUUUUGUAAAAUUGAAUUAAACCAACUAAAAUCUCUAAACCAAUGCCAAUUUAAGUUUAACCAACACAUCUAAACCAAUUUAAUAAAAUUAAUAUUUUUCCAAAUUUCUUAAAUAUACAAGCGAUGAAAUUGAGAAAAAGUAAACUCGUAAUUUUUCCACAAAAAAACAUAAACCCGUGAUUUUCCCGCCAAAAACGUAAACCCGUGAUUUUCCCGCUAAAAACGUAAACCCGUGAUUUUCCCGCCAAAAACUUUAACACGUGAUUUUCCCGCCAAAAACGUAAAACCGUAAUUUUCCCACCAAAAACGUAAACCUAUAAUUUCCGCCAAAAACGUAAAUCCGUGAUUUUCCCGCCAAAACGUAAAUCCGUGAUUUUUCCACCAAAAACGUAAAUCCGUAAUUUUCCCGCCAAAAACGUAAACCGGUAAUUUUCCCGCCAAAAACGUAAACCUAUAAUUUUCCCGCCAAAAACGUAAACCCGUGAUUUUCCCGCCAAAAACGUAAACCAAUAAAAAGUGGAAUCCGUAAAUAUCCUAAGUUUGAUGAUAAUGAAUUAAUAAUGAUAAUUAUUUAUUAUUGUUUUAUAAUAAUAAUUAAUUAAAUUAUUACUUAAAUGGGUUAACCCAUUUAACAACUCAGUCCAUCAAAUUAAAUGAGUUAUGGUUGACCCAACUCAUUUAACAAAAUGAGUUGGGUCAACCAUAACUCAUUUAACCCUAAACUCAUUUGAUUAUGAGUUGAGUUGAGUUGGGUUACCCAUUUUGACAUCCCUAUAAAAACCCUUGUGAAUUUGCUAGUUUGA
rnacentral:sRNA from 1 species